GACGAACGCUGGCGGCGUGCCUAAUACAUGCAAGUAGAACGCUGGAGGAGGAGCUUGCUUCUCUGGAUGAGUUGCGAACGGGUGAGUAACGCGUAGGUAACCUGCCUGGUAGCGGGGGAUAACUAUUGGAAACGAUAGCUAAUACCGCAUAAUAUUGACUAUUGCAUGAUAGUCAGUUGAAAGGUGCAACUGCACCACUACCAGAUGGACCUGCGUUGUAUUAGCUAGUUGGUGGGGUAACGGCUCACCAAGGCGACGAUACAUAGCCGACCGGAGAGGGGGGUCGGCCACACUGGGACUGAGACACGGCCCAGACUCCUACGGGAGGCAGCAGUAGGGAAUCUUAGGCAGUGGACGGAAGUCUGACCGAGCAACGCCGCGUGAGUGAAGAAGGUUUUCGGAUCGUAAAGCUCUGUUGUAAGAGAAGAACGAGUGUGAGAGUGGAAAGCUCACACUGUGACGGUAUCUUACCAGAAAGGGACGGCUAACUACGUG
rnacentral:rRNA from 1 species